rnacentral:rRNA from 1 species
AGCAGCCGCGGUAAUUCCAGCUCCAAUAGCGUAUAUUAAAGUUGUUGCAGUUAAAAAGCUCGUAGUUGAACCUCGGGGUCUACCCAUUGGUCAGGCUUAAUUGUCUGCACUGGUGAGAUGAAUCUCUACCUUCUGAGGAACUUUCAUGCCAUUUAUUUGGUGUGAUGGGAAAUCAGGACUGUUACUUUGAAAAAUUAGAGUGUUUAAAGCAGACUAUCGUCUGAAUACAUUAGCAUGGAAUAAUGAAAUAGGACGGACUGAUUCUAUUUCGUUGGUUUCUAGGAUCACCGUAAUGAUUAAUAGGGAUAGUUGGGGGCAUUAGUAUUCAAUUGUCAGAGGUGAAAUUCUUGGAUUUAUUGAAGACUAACUACUGCGAAAGCAUUUGCCAAGGAUGUUUUCAUUAAUCAAGAACGAAAGUUAGGGGAUCGAAGACGAUCAGAUACCGUCGUA